UCUGGAUGGAUUCCCUGCUGUUGGCUCUGUGUGAAGUGGCAGUUCAGGCUGAGAGAACCUUUAUUCCUGUGGUGCUGGAGCCUUUGGGAAUUUUGAAAAUUAACUGGCUUUUAAUUCCAACCAGAAAGGCACAUUUUGGACUGAAAUCAAAUCUAGAAGAACACGUCAGGAAAAGCUGAAAUCUCAAGCUCUGUGAGCGAUCAUGAAACUUAUUGCUGCAGCUUCUAAUCAGGGAAGAGAUCACCUAAUCAAAAUAGUGCUUUGGAAGGAGGAACAAUUCAAUACUGGACACGACUGAGGAGCUCCAGCUACUGAUAAAGACUGCACUGCUUGGGGAAGAUUUGUUGCUGUUGGUAAAAGCUCUUUGCAGCCAAGCUGGGAGCAGUGAGGAACCA